rnacentral:tRNA from 1 species
ACUUAGAUAGUUUAAUCGGUUAAAACAUAUGUCUCAUAUACAUACAAUGGAGGUUCAAAGCCCCCUCUGAGUA